rnacentral:rRNA from 1 species
AGCGAACGCUGGCGGCGUACUUAACACAUGCAAGUCGAACGAGGAUCACCGGGUUAGCAAUAAUUCGGUGGUCCUAGUGGCGCACGGGUGAGUAACACGUGGGUGACCUGCCCUUGAGCUCGGGAUACCCCCUCGAAAGGGGGGCUAAUACCGGAUACGUUCCUCGGUCGAAAGACUGAGGAGGAAAGGUGGCGCAAGCUGCCGCUCUUGGAGGGGCUCGCGGCCUAUCAGCUAGUUGGCGGGGUAACGGCCCACCAAGGCUAUGACGGGUAGCUGGUCUGAGAGGACGACCAGCCACACGGGGACUGAGACACGGCCCCGACUCCUACGGGAGGCAGCAGUGGGGAAUUUUCCGCAAUGGGCGAAAGCCUGACGGAGUGACGCCGCGUGUGGGACGAAGGCCUUC